rnacentral:lncRNA from 1 species
UCAUCUCCAUUGCUUGAGAUGUCACAGCUAAAGUUUUUGUAAACAAGACACUCGGGACUUGGCAGCCUGUUGAACUUUACUCUUGUAAACAAGACACUCUUGCUCAUCGCUCUCACCAACUUCAUCCAAGAUUUCCUGUUGUAAAAAAAUAUUCACGCCACAAAAGAACUAAUAAAAGCCCGGCAACUUCGGUAAAAAAAAAAAGAAAUGGUUGAGAGAUUAACCUGCAACUUUUGCAGUAAAGUUCCACAAGUAAGAUCCCCAAGAAGAGGACCUACAGCAUUUGUGACCACCAUUUGUCGUGAGUUCACAAGAUACCUGCAGAAAAUAUCAAAACAAAAGAAGACCAUAACUAAAC